AAGACUAUAUUUUCAUGGAUCAUUUCUAUAGUUCUUUACUUGGAAAUGUGUUUCUAAAGUGUCUGUCUACCAACCCACGACGAUGAGCUGUGAUGUCCCUUUCUGAGAAUGAAUUAAAGAUUGAGCUGUGAUUUUUGUUAUAAACUCCGUCAUUGAUGAGUGUUCUCUUUUGCUUUUGGCAAUAUAGAUAAAAGGGGUAUGAUCUGAGUGGU
rnacentral:snoRNA from 1 species